UACGGAGGGUGCAAGCGUUGUCCGGAAUCACUGGGCGUAAAGGGCGCGUAGGCGGCCUGGUAAGUAGGGGGUGAAAUCCUGCGGCUUAACCGCAGGGCUGCCUUCUAAACUGUCAGGCUUGAGCACGGUAGAGGCAGAUGGAAUUCCCGGUGUAGCGGUGGAAUGCGUAGAGAUCGGGAAGAACAUCAGUGGCGAAGGCGGUCCGCUGGGCCGUUGCUGACGCUGAGGCGCGACAGCGUGGGGAGCAAACAGG
rnacentral:rRNA from 1 species